UCUACAGCCCAUAGCACCAUGAACGCACCUGACCUCGUCUGAUCUUGGAAGCUAAGUGGGGUCAGUCCUGGCUAGUACUUGGAAGCAAGAGUCCUCCAGGUGGAGGGAAAA
ensembl:rRNA 5S_rRNA 5S ribosomal RNA